AGACUAUGAUGUUGCUCUCAAAGUGUUGGGGGCAUCUGGACGGCUGCCUUGCAUUAUUACUCAGCUGGAACAAGACCUGGAGAAAGAGGAACGGGAUUUGCGGAGGAAAGAAGCAGCACUGAGGGAUGCCAAAGCUGUACUAGAUGUU